rnacentral:rRNA from 1 species
AUGGUUACCUCCACGCCAAGUACCAUGACCCACAAGACGGAGAAUGCCAAGCACCCCUUCGAACUAUCAAGACCUCAGGACCACCCGGACGACUACCGCACCGGAACGUCAAGUACCUCUGCCGAAGACUCCCACCAAAGACACGUGUACGACUACUACAUAAACGAGUACCGAACGAAUCACCAUGACCUACGAGAACGACUUCGUGGACCGACAAGUACCACGACGUCCGUCGAUCGCCAAGUACCCCUUUGGAUACGCAAGUUCCUCUAA